CUUAUCAAGAGUGAUUGAAGGUACAGGCCUUAUGAUAUCACAGCAACCUUCCUAACAUCAGGAGCUGGUGCUUCUUCCUGCAGAAUGCAACUUUCUGAAAGAUAAGG
rnacentral:ncRNA from 1 species